GAUGAACGCUGGCGGCGUGCCUAAUACAUGCAAGUCGAGCGAACGGACGCUAAUCUUGCUUCUCUGAUGUUAGCGGCGGACGUGUGAGUAACACGUGUAUAACCUACCUAUAAUACUGGUAUAACUUCGGGAAACCGGCGCUAAUACCGUAUAAUCUUUUGCACCGCAUUGUUCAAUAGUGAAAGUCGGUCUUUCUGUCACUUCUAGCUGGAUCCGCGCUGCAUUAGCUAGUUGGUAAGUUAACGGCUUACCAAGGCAACGAUGCAUAGCCGAACUGAGAGGGGGAUCGGCCACACUGGAACUGAGACACGGUCAAGAAGCCUAAGGGAGGCAGCAGUAGGGAAUCUUACGCAAAGGGCGAAAGCCUGACGGAGCAACGCCGCGUGAGUGAUGAAGGUCUUCGGAUCGUAAAACUCUGUUAUUAGGGAAGAACAUAUGUGUAAGUAACUGUGCACAGCUUGACGGUAACUAAUAAGAAAGCCACGGCUAACUACGUG
rnacentral:rRNA from 1 species